CAUAACAUAUAGUGAUUAGUCAAUAAUCACUGACGAAAAAUAAUGAUUCUUCUUUUUCUCUCUUUUGCUUGUUUCAACAGGAGCUAACUACACCCCAAAGGCUAUUUUAGGAGCCACAGCACUGAGCAUCUUUGGCUUUGAGCCAACUACACCCCAGAGACUCUUUUAAGGGCCACCUAGAAUCACGGCACCUUUGGCUUUAUCAGCUGUCGGUGGUUAUGGAGGCCAUGCAGCCAAG